rnacentral:rRNA from 1 species
GACGAACGCUGGCGGCGUGCUUAACACAUGCAAGUCGAACGGAAAGGCCCUGCUUUUGUGGGGUGCUCGAGUGGCGAACGGGUGAGUAACACGUGAGUAACCUGCCCUUGACUUUGGGAUAACUUCAGGAAACUGGGGCUAAUACCGGAUAGGAGCUCCUGCUGCAUGGUGGGGGUUGGAAAGUUUCGGCGGUUGGGGAUGGACUCGCGGCUUAUCAGCUUGUUGGUGGGGUAGUGGCUUACCAAGGCUUUGACGGGUAGCCGGCCUGGGAGGGUGACCGGCCACAUUGGGACUGAGAUACGGCCCAGACGCCUACGGGAGGCAGCGGUGGGGAAUAUUGCACAAUGGGCGGAAGCCUGAUGCAGCAACGCCGCGUGCGGGAUGACGGCCUUCGGGUUGUAAACCGCUUUCGCCUGUGACGAAGCGUGAGUGACGGUAAUGGGUAAAGAAGCACCGGCUAACUACGUG